GCUAUGUUUUUCUUUGGAAGCUGGCUACAACCAGUAGCCUCAGGUCCCAAAGAUUUUAGCUUUCCAAGAUUCUUCUCAGUAUUCUUGCCGUCCCUAACAAUGCUGUUUUUUGUAGAAGUUCUAUUCUUAUAUGUAUUCCCAAUUUCUCAAUCCACUUAUCCAGUUUAUUACUAACUGCUCCUAAGGCACCUACUACUAUUGGAAUGACUUCUACUUUUUUCAUUGCCCAUAUUUUCCGAAUUUCCCUUUUUAACUCCUCAUACUUUUCUACCUUCUCUGUUUCUUUCAUACCAAUUCUACAGUCCCCUGGAACUGCGAUGUCUAUGAUCUUGCAUUCCUUUUCCUUCUUUAAAACCAAUACAAUAUCAGGUCUUCGACAUUCAAUCACAUGAUCGCACUGUAUG